rnacentral:rRNA from 1 species
GAUGAACGCUGGCGGCGUGCCUAAUACAUGCAAGUCGAGCGAACAGACGAGGAGCUUGCUCCUCUGACGUUAGCGGCGGACGGGUGAGUAACACGUGGAUAACCUACCUAUAAGACUGGGAUAACUUCGGGAAACCGGAGCUAAUACCGGAUAAUAUAUUGAACCGCAUGGUUCAAUAGUGAAAGACGGUUUUGCUGUCACUUAUAGAUGGAUCCGCGCCGCAUUAGCUAGUUGGUAAGGUAACGGCUUACCAAGGCGACGAUGCGUAGCCGACCUGAGAGGGUGAUCGGCCACACGGGAACUGAGACACGGUCCAGACUCCUACGGGAGGCAGCAGUAGGGAAUCUUCCGCAAUGGGCGAAAGCCUGACGGAGCAACGCCGCGUGAGUGAUGAAGGUCUUCGGAUCGUAAAACUCUGUUAUUAGGGAAGAACAAAUGUGUAAGUAACUAUGCACGCCUUGACGGUACCUAAUCAGAAAGCCACGGCUAACUACGUG